UACGGGGGGGGCAAGCGUUGUUCGGAAUUACUGGGCGUAAAGGGCGCGUAGGCGGCCUUCUAAGUCGAACGUGAAAUCCCCAGGCUCAACCUGGGAACUGCGUCCGAUACUGGAUGGCUUGAAUUCGGGAGAGGGAUGCAGAAUUCCAGGUGUAGCGGUGAAAUGCGUAGAUAUCUGGAGGAAUACCGGUGGCGAAGGCGGCAUCCUGGACCGACAUUGACGCUGAUGAGCGAAAGCCAGGGGAGCAAACGGG
rnacentral:rRNA from 1 species